rnacentral:rRNA from 1 species
UACGAAGGGGGCUAGCGUUGCUCGGAAUCACUGGGCGUAAAGCGCACGUAGGCGGAUCUUUAAGUCAGGGGUGAAAUCCUGGAGCUCAACUCCAGAACUGCCUUUGAUACUGAGGAUCUUGAGUCCGGGAGAGGUGAGUGGAACUCCGAGUGUAGAGGUGAAAUUCGUAGAUAUUCGGAAGAACACCAGUGGCGAAGGCGGCUCACUGGCCCGGUACUGACGCUGAGGUGCGAAAGCGUGGGGAGCAAACAGGGAU